rnacentral:lncRNA from 1 species
AUGAACUGGGAGGGAACUGGGAUGAACUGGGAGGGAACUGGGAUGAACUGGGAGCGCUGGUGCCUCUCACUGCAGUCCCUUACUGGUCCCACUGGUGACACUGGUCUGUCUUACUGGUGUCACUGGUGUCCCUUACUGGUGUCACUGGUCCCUCACCGGUACCACCAGUUCAUCCCAGUUCAUCCCAGUUCCCUCCCAGUUCAUCCCAGUCCAUCCCAGUCCCUCCCAGUCCAUCCCAGUUUAUCCCAGUCCCUCCCAGUUCCAUCCCAGUUUAUCCCAGUUUAUCCCAGUUUGUCCCAGUUCCCCCCCAGUCCCAUCCCAGUCCAUCCCAGUUUGUCCCAGUCUGUCCCAGUUCCAUCCCAGUGUAACUCCAGACCCUCCCAGUCCCCGCCAGUCCCCCCCAGUCCAUCCCAGUCCAUCCCAGUUUGUCCCAGUUCCCCCCCAGUUCCAUCCCAGUCCAUCCCAGUCCAUCCCAGUUUGUCCCAGUUCCCCCCCAGUCCAUCCCAGUUUAUCCCAGUUCCAUCCCAGUCCAUCCCAGUUUUCGCCCCUCCCCCCCCCGACACAAACGGGGCCGGAAAUGGAAAAAAAGAGAAUUUUAAUCACGGGGGGGGAGGGGAGGGAAAGGGGGCAGGUCCUGGCAGGGCCAUGGGAAGGUCCUGGAAGGUCCUGGCAGGGUCAUGGGAAGGUUCUGGAAGGUCCUGGCAGGGCCAUGGGAAGGUUCUGGAAGGUC